rnacentral:rRNA from 1 species
AUACGGAGGAUCCGAGCGUUAUCCGGAUUUAUUGGGUUUAAAGGGAGCGUAGGUGGACAGUUAAGUCAGUUGUGAAAGUUUGCGGCUCAACCGUAAAAUUGCAGUUGAUACUGGCUGUCUUGAGUACAGUAGAGGUGGGCGGAAUUCGUUGUGUAGCGGUGAAAUGCAUAGAUAUGACGAAGAACACCGAUUGCGUAGGCAGCUGACCAGAUCGCAAAUGACGCUCAUGCACGAAAGUGCGGGGAUCGAACAGGAUUAGAUACCCUGGUAGUCCGCACAGUAAACGAUGAAUACUUGUUUUCGGCGAUAUAAUGUCGGAGGUAAAGCGAAAGCGAUAAGUAUUCCACCUGGGGAGUACGCCGGCAACGGGGAAACUCAAAUCAAUUGGCGGGG